GACGAACGCUGGCGGCGUGCUUAACACAUGCAAGUCGAACGGAAAGGCCCUGCUUUUGUGGGGUGCUCGAGUGGCGAACGGGUGAGUAACACGUGAGUAACCUGCCCUUGACUUUGGGAUAACUUCAGGAAACUGGGGCUAAUACCUGAUAGGAGCUCCUGCUGCAUGGUGGGGGUUGGAAAUUUUCGGCGGUUGGGGAUGGACUCGCGGCUUAUCAGCUUGUUGGUGGGGUAGUGGCUUACCAAGGCUUUGACGGGUAGCCGGCCUGAGAGGGUGACCGGCCACAUUGGGACUGAGAUACGGCCCAGACUCCUACGGGAGGCAGCAGUGGGGAAUAUUGCACAAUGGGCGGAAGCCUGAUGCAGCAACGCCGCGUGCGGGAUGACGGCCUUCGGGUUGUAAACCGCUUUCGCCUGUGACGAAGCGUGAGUGACGGUAAUGGGUAAAGAAGCACCGGCUAACUACGUG
rnacentral:rRNA from 1 species